rnacentral:lncRNA from 1 species
CUUUUGCUUCUGCUGUUUAUCAAGUGCCUUUAUAUGAAAAAAAUCCUUAUAUCAAAGAGGAAUCUGAAGCCACCUUAAGGCAAAGGAAUGACUUCCAUGGAAUACAGAUGAAGUUGGUAAAAGGAAAUACAAAGGAGAAAAAGUACAUUUGUUCUGUUCUAUGACUAUUACUCUGAUACACUGGUAAUGCUAUGAUGAUGGAAGGAACAAAUAAAUGUCUCAGGAUCUUGAUCUUCUGAUAAUAGAGAGGGAAGUUAACAGUUCCUGUAUUUACAGGAACUGUAAUAGAGAGGGAAGUUCCUGUAUUUACAGGAAGAAUUUUAGCAGGGUAAACUUCAAAACCAGUAAAGGCUUGCGUGUUGCUACCAUAAAAAAGAACAAGAAAGCCAACCACAAAAAUUAAACACUAAAUUGAGCAAAGAAAGAAAAGGCAAUAUUACUACUGAAGUAUUAGAGAGCACUCACUACUUCCCUAUUUUACCUGCAUGUAUAACCUAUGACGUUACUCAUUUAUUUCUCUGUAUGUCAUUUGAGAAGUGACUUAUGGAGAGAGAAUAGAUAAAAUAGCAUUCCUUAAUUAAAUAUGGUAGGAUGCAACGUAUACAUGACUAAUUUGGGAUAAUAUUUCUUGUGUGUGUGUGUGUGUGUGUGUGUGUGUGUGUUUGAUAGAGUCUCGCACUGUCGCCCAGGCUGGAGUGCAG